rnacentral:lncRNA from 1 species
CAUCAAAAUCGUGCAAUUCUAUGGCAAGAAUUCUUUCCAGUGGGAGGAUUCUAAAACCAAGAAUCCACUGCUGAAAUUUUAUUAACUGAAAAUAGGGAACGAUUGACACACCAGACAACAAGAACAAGAAGCAAUUAAAUCUAAUGAAAAUUAAAAAAAAAAGAAAAGAAAUACAUAUUCAAACAUAUUAAUGAAAAUCAUCCCCAAGUACGACACCUGGAAGAGAAAGCAUUUUGGGUGGCUUGAUCCUCCCAUUGUAGCUCUUCCCACCAUUUUUUCUCUCCCUCGAUGACAACUCGACGUUCCUUCGCGCUGCUGGAAUUGAGUGGGAGCUUCUUCAGCUGUGGGCAAUGACAUACGUCAAUUUUCUUCAGCUUUGGAAAGGGCAGGGGAUUCGGGUAAACGCUCUUUAAAUUUGUUCCCCAACUUAUGCUUAGAUAUUCGAGUUGUGCGAAAAAGUUAUGCUCUGACCCGAUUAUCACCGAAAUAUCUCUCAAUUUAUCAACACUAAUUAUUUCUUCCAUAUCAUAACAAUCACCUAUACGCAGCACCUUGAGGUUUUGAACAAAAACAAGCCACGUUAAGUCCUUCGCUUUUCUGCAAUAAUGUACGCUAACCGUGUUCAGACUGCGGAAACCACUUUGAAAAAGCUUCUUUACCUCUUCUGUGCUGUCAAUCUUCAUCUCUUCCAAAUUACAGGAUUCAAGUUCGAACUUCUGAAGAUUCUCCAUGUAUGCCAGAUGUAAGACAUUGAACGGUGGACUUGUAUGUACGCCAGAUUUAACCAAUACAGAUUGAGUGAUGCUCACCAGCUUUGGAUAUUUCAAAAAGUUUUGGACACCAAGUGAACUUCGGAAGGUCCAGCUUAAAACAUUUAAAUGCGAAGUUGUUGUUGACUUGUUUUAAAAGGGUAGUUUUGCCGACUCCCCCUAUACCAUACAAGCCGAUAAUUCCCCUCUUCUUUUCCUGAUCAGUGAUACAUCUCCAAACUUGAUCAAGUAAUAGUUCUUGACCAACAACUGUGUGAUCAAGAGGUAAUUCAAUUGCUGCACCAUCUGGCGCCUUCUCAACAACGACUUCAAUUUUUUCUCCGUCUUUCUUUAAAUUGAUCACUCGAUCCGUCAACUCGACCACCUGAGUCCCGUAAUUGUAGCUUGAAACGAAGUUUUUGGAACAGAGGCCUCCAAGGCACAGUCUAUCCAUUUCUUGAGCUCUAUCUCGUUCCAGCUCGGUAUAUUCAGUUUCCAGUUUUUGCACAUCUUCAAGCCACCCUGCGACCUGGUUCGUUCGUCUGGUUCGAGGUCGUUGUUCUUCGAUCUCAACAAAAGAAUUAAGCAAAUUUAGAGAAGCACAAUACCGAAAUAAAAAUAUGAUAGAUUUGUUGCUUUAUAAUUCAUAUGUCAAAUAUCGAGAACAUAAUGAUACGUUUACACGUCAUGUAAAAUUUGUGAUUCAUUUUAGUAAUGACGACAGAAUUAAUAUUAAAUCGAAUCACACACAAAUCCUUCACUAAUCCAGUAAUCAAUCAAUUGCCUUUUAGGAAUUUCGGAGUCUUCAGGGUACAAACAACAAUACAGGAGACAGGAACGAAGUUCGUCCGUAGACAAACUAUCAUAGCUGAACUUUAAACGCGAAAACACCUCUUCUUUCAUACCUGAGAAUUUAGAAGCUGAUGUUGUCAUUUUGUGAAUUGCACGUUUCCAAUCUCCAACUUUCCUUUGGCUUUUCAUGGCUCGACCCACUGUUUUAAGCGCUAGCGGCAACCCACCACACUCUCUUGCCAGGGUUUCGGCUAGCUCUGGAAUACUGGUAUGACUGUCAAGAGUGGAUCUGUCGACCAUCUCCUGAAAUAAGUCCCAGGCUUUAUCAUGCGCCAAACUAUACACUUCCACCUUUUCAGCGUCCAUUUGAUCGCAAACACCAGCUGAACGAGUUGUCAAGACUACUUUGGACCCAUCAUUUAGUUUUUGAAGAGGGACACCCAAUUGUGUUAAAUCAAUGCGUUCCCAUAUAUCAUCCAAUAACAACACAAACUUCUUUCCGCUUAAAAUUCUAGCGAUGUCCGCAGCCUUGUCUCGAGGACUUUUUUUCUCCCACCUUUGGUCUUCUGAAAAGCCAAUCCUUUUUCCAAUGUCAUCUUGAAGUGUUGACACAGCCGCCCAGAUAACAACAUCAAAAUUAUGCUGUUGAUGGCAGAAGUUGUUGUUGACUUGUUUUAAAAGGGUAGUUUUGCCGGCUCCCCCGAUACCAUACAAGCCGAUAAUUCCCCUGUUAUUUUCCUGAUCAGUGAUACAUCUCCAAACUUGAUCAAGUAAUAGUUCUUGACCAACAACUGUGUGAUCAAGAGGUAAUUCAAUUGCUGCACCAUCUGGCGCCUUCUCAACAACGACUUCAAUUUUUUCUCCGUCUUUCUUUAAAUUGAUCACUCGAUCCGUCAACUCGACCACCUGAGUCCCGUAAUUGUAGCUUGAAACGAAGUUUUUGGAACAGAGGCCUCCAAGGCACAAUCUAUCCAUUUCUUGAGCUCUAACUCGUUCCAGCUCGGUAAAUUCAGUUUCCAGUUUUUGCACAUCUUCAAGCCACCCUGCGACCUGGUUCGUUCGUCUGGUUCGAGGUCGUUGUUCUUCGACCUCAACCUUGGUCUUCAGAUCGGCCCUUGCUCGAGUC